GAGCUUACAAAGGAAUGAGCAAGAGGAAAGAAGAUUCUGGUCUCACUUAAAAUGGACUGCGGUACCUCCUCUGCUUGAAAUUCAAAGAAGCCAAGGCUAAGGCAUUCAUAGACAAGUGUUAUUUGUUUUUUCAAACAAACGAGAUUAAAAGAGAAAACCAAAUAAUGGAGAGAACCCAGCACAGAGCCAGAUGUACGGGAAAGAAGACCAGCAGGAAGAACCGUGAGAAAGGCAGUAGCAGUAGGAAAGAAAGCAAGGGAUGAUUUGAGAUUCCUUUAGAGAUCAAUGGGAAAGACUGGAAAACUGCUUUCAUAUAGAAAGUUGGAGAUUAAACAAUCAUAAGUCAACUGAUAAGCGGGUGAUGGGAAAGGUUUGAAACUUUUAAAUGCUGGCCUCAUAAAUCAUCCUGAUACCAAAGCCGGGCAGAGACACAACCAAAAAAGAGAAUUUUAGACCAAUAUCCUUGAUGAACAUUGACGCAAAAAUCCUCAAUAAAAUACUGGCAAACCGAAUCC
rnacentral:lncRNA from 10 species